UACGUAGGGUGCGAGCGUUUAAUCGGAAUUACUGGGCGUAAAGCGCACGUAGGCGGCUUCUUAAGUCGGUGGUGAAAUCCUGGAGCUCAACUCCAGAACUGCCUUCGAUACUGGGAGCUCGAGUCCGGGAGAGGUGAGUGGAACUGCGAGUGUAGAGGUGAAAUUCGUAGAUAUUCGCAAGAACACCAGUGGCGAAGGCGGCUCACUGGCCCGGUACUGACGCUGAGGUGGCGAAAAGCGUGGGGAGCAAACAGG
rnacentral:rRNA from 1 species